GCGCCGGUGGCGUAGUCGAUCCAGCGCAGGCGGUCGUCGCCCUCCUGGGCGGUGAGGAAGCCGGUCUCGCCGGCGUUCAGGACGAUGGUGGCGCG
rnacentral:tRNA from 1 species